rnacentral:misc_RNA from 1 species
GUGAAGUCUUUAGAGUGCUCGCAAGAGGCUCGACUACACUUAUCAUUACACUGUGAACUUGAAAUUUUUCAACUUGGUCGCAAGACCUUGUUCGAAACCCCAGUCUUAAUAGAAGUCUUGAAUGUAACCUUUGAUAAACGAAAGUAA